UACGUAGGGUGCAAGCGUUAAUCGGAAUUACUGGGCGUAAAGCGUGCGCAGGCGGUUAUGUAAGACAGAUGUGAAAUCCCCGGGCUCAACCUGUGAACUGCAUUUGUGACUGCAUAGCUAGAGUACGGUAGAGGGGGAUGGAAUUCCGCGUGUAGCAGUGAAAUGCGUAGAUAUGCGGAGGAACACCGAUGGCGAAGGCAAUCCCCUGGACCUGUACUGACGCUCAUGCACGAAAGCGUGGGGAGCAAACAGG
rnacentral:rRNA from 1 species